rnacentral:misc_RNA from 1 species
CCGAGUUAUACAACUCAUCAACCCUGUGAACAUACCUAUAACGUUUGCCUCGGCGGGAAACAGACGGCCCCGUAACACGGGCCGCCCCCGCCAGAGGACCCCCUAACUCUGUUUCUAUAAUGUUUCUUCUGAGUAAACAAGCAAAUAAAUUA